AUCGAACGCUGGCGGCAGGCCUAACACAUGCAAGUCGAACGAGUGGCGGACGGGUGAGUAAUGUCUGGUAAACUUCCUGAUGGAGGGGGAUAACUACUGGAAACCGUCUCUAAUACCCCCUACCAUCGGAUGUGCCCAGAUGGGCUUAGCGAGUGGGUGGGGUAAAGGCUCACCUAGGCGACGAUCCCUCGCGGGGCUGAGAGGAUGACCGGCCACACGGGAACUGAGACAGGGCCCGAACCCCUACGGGAGGCAGAAGUGGGGAAUAUUGGAAAAUGGGCACAAGCCUGAUGCAGCCAUGCCGCGGGGAUGAAGAAGGCCUUCGGGUUGUAAAGUACUUUCAGCGGGGAGGCGGUACCCGCAGAAGAAGCACCGGCUAACUCCGUGCCAGCAGCCGCGGUAAUAC
rnacentral:rRNA from 1 species